rnacentral:rRNA from 1 species
CCUACGGGAGGCAGCAGUAAGGAAUAUUGGUCAAUGGACGCAAGUCUGAACCAGCCAUGCCGCGUGCAGGAUGACGGCCCUCUGGGUUGUAAACUGCUUUUAUAGGGGACGAAAAAAGGGCUUUCUAGCUCGUCUGACGGUACCCUAGGAAUAAGCACCGGCUAACUCCGUGCCAGCAGCCGCGGUAAUACGGAGGGUGCAAGCGUUAUCCGGAUUUACUGGGUUUAAAGGGUGCGUAGGUGGGUCGGUAAGUCAGCGGUGAAAUCUUCGAGCUUAACUCGGAAACUGCCAUUGAUACUAUCGAUCUUGAAUCAUCUGGAGGUAAGCGGAAUAUGUCAUGUAGCGGUGAAAUGCUUAGAUAUGACAUAGAACACCAAUUGCGAAGGCAGCUUACUACGGAUGCAUUGACACUGAGGCACGAAAGCGUGGGGAUCAAACAGGAUUAGAUACCCUGGUAGUCCACGCCCUAAACGAUGGAUACUCGACAUUUGAGAUAUACUUUAAGUGUCUGAGCGAAAGCAUUAAGUAUCCCACCUGGGAAGUACGAUCGCAAGAUUGAAACUUAAAUGAAAUUGACGG